GUCUUCUUGAUUAUAAUUUGAAGUCCAACCUGCUCUAUGAGUAUUAAAUGGCCGCAGUAUUUUGACUGUGCUAAGGUAGCAUAAUCAUUAGUUUCUUAAUUAGAAGCUUGUAUGAAUGGUUUGAUGAAAAAAUAUCUUUCUUAUUAUUAAUUUUUUAAUUUUAUCUUUAAGUAAAAAAGCUUAAAUUUUUUUAGGGGACGAGAAGACCCUUUAGAAUUUUAUAUAAUAUUUAUUUAAUUUUAUUUGGAAUUUAUUGGUUAUUUAAGUUUUAUAUUUAGUUGGGGUGACUGAAAAAUUUAAAUAACUUUUUUUAUUUUUUUACAUUAUUAUUGGUUAAUUGAUCCGUUAAAACGAUUAAAAGAAAAAAUUACCUAAGGGAUAACAGCGUAAUAAUUUUUUAGAGUUCAAAUCGAAAAAAUUGAUUGCGA
rnacentral:rRNA from 1 species